rnacentral:rRNA from 1 species
UAGAGUUUGAUCCUGGCUCAGAGCGAACGCUGGCGGCAGGCUUAACACAUGCAAGUCGAGCGGACCUUUCGGGGUCAGCGGCGGACGGGUGAGUAACGCGUGGGAACGUGCCUUCUGGUCUGGAAUAACCCUGGGAAACUAGGGCUAAUACCGGAUACGCCCUUUUGGGGAAAGGUUUACUGCCGGAAGAUCGGCCCGCGUCUGAUUAGCUAGUUGGUGGGGUAACGGCCUACCAAGGCGACGAUCAGUAGCUGGUCUGAGAGGAUGAUCAGCCACACUGGGACUGAGACACGGCCCAGACUCCUACGGGAGGCAGCAGUGGGGAACAUUGGACGAUGGGCGCAAGCCUGAUCCAGCCAUGCCGCGUGAGUGAUGAAGGCCCUAGGGUUGUAAAGCUCUUUCACCGGUGAAGAUAAUGACGGUAACCGGAGAAGAAGCCCCGGCUAACUUCGUGCCAGCAGCCGCGGUAA